CAAGGCGAUGAUCAGUAGCCCGGUCCUGAGAGGAUGAACGGCCACAUUGGGACUGAGACACGGCCCAGACUCCUACGGGAGGCAGCAGUGGGGAAUCUUCCGCAAUGGACGAAAGUCUGACGGAGCAACGCCGCGUGAGUGAAGAAGGUCUUCGGAUUGUAAAGCUCUGUUAUACGGGACGAAAAAGACGGAUGCCAACAGUAUCCGUCCGUGACGGUACCGUAAGAGAAAGCCACGGCUAACUACGUGCCAGCAGCCGCGGUAAU
rnacentral:rRNA from 1 species